rnacentral:rRNA from 1 species
UGCAUCGGAACGCGUCCUGUAAUGGGGGAUAACCUGGCGAAAGUCAGGCUAAUACCGCAUACGUCCUGAGGGAGAAAGCGGGGGAUUGGCAACGACCUCGUGUUGAUAGGAGCGGCCGAUGUCGGAUUAGCUAGUUGGUGGGGUAAAGGCCUACCAAGGCGACGAUCCGUAGCGGGUCUGAGAGGACGGCCCGCCACACUGGGACUGAGACACGGCCCAG